GAUGAACGCUGGCGGCGUGCCUAAUACAUGCGAGUCGAGCGAACAGACGAGGAGCUUGCUCCUCUGACGUUAGCGGCGGACGGGUGAGUAACACGUGGAUAACCUACCUAUAAGACUGGGAUAACUUCGGGAAACCGGAGCUAAUACCGGAUAAUAUAUUGAACCGCAUGGUUCAAUAGUGAAAGACGGUUUUGCUGUCACUUAUAGAUGGAUCCGCGCCGCAUUAGCUAGUUGGUAAGGUAACGGCUUACCAAGGCAACGAUGCGUAGCCGACCUGAGAGGGUGAUCGGCCACACUGGAACUGAGACCCGGUCCAGACUCCUACGGGAGGCAGCAGUAGGGAAUCUUCCGCAAUGGGCGAAAGCCUGACGGAGCAACGCCGCGUGAGUGAUGAAGGUCUUCGGAUCGUAAAACUCUGUUAUUAGGGAAGAACAAAUGUGUAAGUAACUAUGCACGUCUUGACGGUACCUAAUCAGAAAGCCACGGCUAACUACGUG
rnacentral:rRNA from 1 species